UUGUAUCUUGAAAUCUACAAAAAAAAAAGAAAGAAUGUUGAAUCGUGAACAACAUCGUGAGGCAAACUGAACAGAAGUAAUCCCAACAAAAGCAAUGCAAUAGCUUAGGCAUCAAUGUCACAAAAGCCAACGUCAUCUAGAAAUAGAGUACCAUAAUCAAACCUUAUUCCUGGGGAAUCAGGUCGCAAUGAUAGCACAAUAACCAAUCAACGGAAGAAAGCAGAGAUAAAUUUUGUUCUUGACCAAAAGAACUUCUCAUCAACAAAUUCACAAAAUAACAUAAUUAAAAGGAAUGUCCUAAAUCCUAAAACCACAUACAAUAAAGACAGGACAACAAAAAUGGUCUCAAGUAAUCUCUGAAACACAAAAUAAAACCAUCACUCCCUAAACCAAAAUGAUAACCUUAAAAGACUGAAAAUUGUGAGAUUCAAUUGAUACAUAGCACCACAAGAACAUAUAUUACAAAGCGUAGAUUAAAAUCCUUGAGGAGAGUCAAAGGGCAGGUUACAAUGGUUGCAAUGAUAGCUCUCUAAACGAUAACCAAGAAGAAACAGAGAGCAAUUUUCAAUGCUUGAACGAGAGAAUCCUCUUUACCAACUUCACAAAACAACAUCACCUAGAUGAGAGUAAGUGGGAAGCCCGAGUGCAAUAGCAUUAGGAGUCAACGAAAUCCACCAAAACUAGUAAACUGCAAGCAAUCACCAAGAAACAUACCAGAGAAGAAUCGGAGUGAGACAACUGGAUAAUUGAUAGACCCAAUUGAAUCAUAAAAGAAGGCCCUAAUAGAAGGCAACAGGGCCUAUCUUAUUGAUAGUUGAUUACUUUACAAAGAUUAGAUUAGCUUAGACCUUUGAAGCCGCGUCUCAAGUACACUGAAAUAGAACAUAACCAUCCAUAAUGAUACCCUAAAACGAUUAAAUUAGUAAAGAGCACAUAAGUACACGUAGAAGCAUGCCAAAAAUUGAAGCAUAAAAAAGGAGCAUUAUAAAUCUAAGUAAGACCAAUAAAUAAUCAUAAUACCCAAGAAAAGCUCGUACUAGUGGUUUCUAUCUCAAGAAUGAUUCUUAUGGUCACAUUACCUGAGCCAAAAAAUCUCAUAGAUUGUAUAGUGAGAUCCAUGUCAUGUUGGGUCAAUGCAAGGCAAAUCAGAUUUUGAGUUGGCAUCCAAUCCCACUUGGUCAUAGAGGAAGAGAGCAAACUAGCUUGAUGAACGAAAGAAACCUCAAUAGAACAAGAAAAGGAGUAAGCCAAGCCAAAAAGAAUGACCCUUCGAAAAUAACGAUCACCAAUAUACACAGUGAUUUGAUCUUCUGAGAAAAACUUGCUAGAAAACAAUUGGGGGCUUCCGCAUUACACACACAAUCACAUGUGCCAUAGCUUCCCUCACAAAAAGACCCCCAAAUUAAAAUCACAAAACCUUAAAAAUAACAACUGGCAUUCACGUCACCUCAUACUGUCCAUAUGUUCUGUGAUGACCCUAAAGUUUUAGAACUGAAAAAUGUGAUGAUGAUGAUGAUACAAAAGAAAAUAUAUAACUAACAAAGAAAAUAUACACAAUUGCCCAUGAUACAAAAGAAAAUAUAACUAACAAAUACCCACACACCACACUGUCAGACACCAAAAACCAAAGGAUCCAAUGUGUGCAUCUGAUUAUGAGAGCAUAUCAGCAACAACAAUCAAUGUAAACUGAAUAUACUUCACAAUCAACACAAAGACAUUUACAAACAAACAACAAAAAUGAUAUGAAUAAACCAGAGCUGAUUCAGCCCCCAUCCAACAAAAACCAAUUUGUGUCAAAUCCAAAGAGCAACAGUACUACAAGGGGCGAUGUGCCUAUUAUCGAAUACCCAAACUUAUGACCACUCAUCUCACAGAUCCAAAUCACAGCAAACAAAAAUUCAAAGAAUAGAAUUGAAAUAAGAAGAGAAUAAAAAUUGGCCAAAACAGGAUAACCACCCUUGGAAAUGCGAUGAAGACUAGCCUCCCGAUCCAUUUCGAACAACCACAGGCAUGGGUGAGAUAAUUCCAUGCCACCACAACAAGAAGCAAAAUAAUACCUCUCUAAAAAAACUGAAUAAAGUCAUAUGGAUCUUUCAAACCACAAAACCACUAGAAGUAAAUCCCCUAAUACAAAAGGCAAUAACCACAAACAUGCAUGAGCUGCAAAUUCAGAAGAAACAUAUCCAUGUCACGACGAUGGCACUCACAAUAAAACCAGUUAGGAUCCAAACUGAUCAACAUAUACAUAAAAUAACACCCCCGCCAGCACCCCCCCCGCCCCCCUCCCCCCUCCCCCUCCCCCCUCCCCCUCCCCCUCCCUCCCAAUCUAAAUGUGAGUGUUCCACAUGAACUCCCCCCCAAUCUAAAUGUGAGUGUUCCACAUGAAUGUCUAGAGCCAUUCUGUACAACUACAGGUACCAAAGAUGUAUCUCCAGAUUAUAACAAACUUAAAAACUAAAAACCAUACAACUAAAUUGCAUCAAUAGUAUUCAGCAGGACUCCCAAUACCACUUGAAAUACAUCUCUAUGGCCACAAUGCAGAUCUACAGACUCGCACAAUCCAGAACCAAUAGUUUCCAUACUUGUCAAAACACCUGGUAACGAUCCAACAAAAAUGUUAGCGAUAAACUACUGCAACACAAUGCACACAAGAAAUCCAGAAAACUCAAGGAACAUGAGAAAUUACCAUGUAAGAAUCUAUUGUUCCUUCGCAUAAAAGCAUCAUAUGGAACCUAUGGGCACAAAUUUUCAUCAAGAAUUGAGCCAAUACUCGUGAACCAAACAAAAAUUUUUUUGAUGAGGGUUACCCUAAACAAAACUGUGAAAGGACUAUGUGCUAAAGCACGAUGUAUAUAUGUAAAACUUGCAAGAUCACUUACAAUGUCAAUUACAAAAAUAAAUAAAAACCCAUUAUCAAUUGCUACCUUUUCAAAUAGAACUCUUUAUUCGAAAAUAAAAACUAGACUUAUUGCUUUAUCGGAAGAGAAGAAUAAAUCACAAUAAAGAUUUAAAGAAGUAAAAUUACCAGAGAUUAUCUCAACUGGAUUUAGUACACCCCACACCGAGUAUCCUCUUUCCGAUGGUGCUCAGAAUUUAUGAUCGGUCUCUUGACUCUCCUACUAUAACAAAAACUCUAUCAUUAGCAAAUGGAUCUCAAUCUAGAACCAACCACCUAAAGUGCCAAUGCCUUACUCAAGGCCUCCCGGCUUGAUCUUUGGAGAGAUAAAAGAUAGAAAUAAAAGAGAGAAGGAGAGAUCUACUAGUUAGGGGAUCCUCUCCUUUUCUACACACAAUCAAAACCACCAACCCUAGCCUUGGGCAUGCCACCUAGAACUCGCAAGAGAUGGAGCGACGGCUUGGGCAUGCCCCUUUGGAGAAUUAAAAAGAGAGAGAUCUUGGAAAAUUUCUACAUGUGGUAAAUUGGGCCCCCAUAUUUUAUGGAGGGUCUAAUUUUAAAAAAUAUUUUAUUUAGAAUUUUAAAUAUUAUAAUUUAUUUAAAACAUUAAAAAAAUAAUUUCUUUUAAUUUAUAAAUUCAAAUGACAAAAAUAAAAUAUCAGAAGAUUAACAAAAAUUUAACUAAACAUUCUAAAAAGAUCUCACUCUUUUCAAUUCUCCAAAGAGAGCAUGCCCAAGCUACCUCUCCAUUUCUUGCGAGUUUUCCAAAGAGGGCAUGCCCAAGUUAUCUCUCCAUCUCUUGCGAGUUCUAGGUGGCAUGCCCAAGGCUGGUGGUUUUGAUUGUGGGUAGCAAAGGGGAGAAUCCACUUGCUAAUAGAUAUCUCCCUCUCUUUUUGAUUUUUAUCUUUCAUCUGUCUAAAGAUCAAGUCUAUCUCUCAUCUCUCUAAAGAUUUUUAUCUCUCAUCUCUCUAAAGAUCAAGCCAAGGGGCUUAAGCAAUACUAAGGCAUUAAAUCUUUCUAAAGAUCAAAUCUAUCUUUCAUCUCUCCAAAGAUAAGUUUAUCUCUCAGAUCAAGCCAAUGGGCUUAAGCAAGACUAAAGCAUUAAAGCCUUAGGCAGGUUUUAGAUUAAGAACCAUAUGUGUCAUUGAGAGGGUUUUUGCCAUAGUAGAAAAGUCAAGAGACUAGAUCUUACCACCACUAACGGAAAGAAGAGACUCAUCGUACGAUGUACUAAACCUGGUUGAGGUACUCUCUAGUAAUUUUACUUUUUAAAUUUUAUUUUAUUUAUGAUUUGCUCUUCUCUUCUUAUAAAGCAAUCAGUCUGAUUGUUGAAUAAAGAGUUGUAUUUGAAGAGGUAGCAAUUUAGAACCGGUUUUUAUUUAUUUUUAUUUCAUUCAAGAGUUGUUUGUUUUGUCCAAUUUGUUUGUAAUUGGACAUUGUUAGUAAUCUUGCUAGAGUCGCAAUAAAGAAACUUUUUUUAAAUAUCACCUAGAAAUAGAGUCCCAUAAUCAAACCUCAUUCCUUGGAAAAAUCAGGUCCCAAUGAUAUAUAAAUAACCAAUCAAUCGAGGAAACUAGAGAAAAAUUGUGAUCUUGAACAAAAGAACCCCACGUCAACAAAUUCACAAAAUAACAUAUUUCAAAGGAUCGUCCUAAACCCUAAAACUACACAAAACAACCACAGGACAGCAAAAAUGGUCUCAAGUAUUCUCUGAAACACAAAAUACAAUGAUCACUCCAUAAAAGACUCAGAAAAUUGUGAGAUACAAUUGAUAUAUUGCGUCGCAAGAACAUAUAUUACAGAUGGUGAUUAAAUCGUUUGAAUGCACAUUCUGGUAUGGUCUUAGCAAUUUUCUGAAACAAAAAAUAGAACGAUCACUCCCUAAGCGCCUCAAAAAACACCAUUAAGGAGCCCAUGAAUACAUACAGAGUAAAAUCAAGAAACCAGAACAAGUCAAAAUGCCCAAGCAAGAUAAUUGUAGUUAUAAAAAGAUCCUAGUAUUAAAAUAAAAGUAAAAAAGAGAGCAAGAAGUGAUUCAUCAAGAAGCAUCACAGAAAUCCGGAAAUAAAAAAUACAAACGCAACCCAAAAACCACACAAAAAUAACCACAGGACCAUAAAAAACCAUUCGUCAGUCAGAACGAGAGCAUAAUGAAACCAGAACCAUGAAGCAUCAUAUAAGAGACCCCUAAGGCCCAAAACCCGUGGGAAACCAAAAAUAGACAGGAAUGAAAAUAAAAAAGCCAAAAGAAUCAAACACAGAAAAACCAUAUAAACCCGAACUCAAUCAAGAACCAGGUCAUCAUAAAAACAAACAUGUGUUUAAACUGACGAAAUAAAUCUGCAGGCAACAUUAAAGGGAUUGAAUAGAAAGAUAUGGUCGAUAGAGGAUCAAGAGUUACAGAGGGGCCCUGUAAAAUAUGUAUUUUCACCGUAUUGUAGAAGCAAGAAUUAUUUAUAUUUUUUCCGUUGUUUU
rnacentral:lncRNA from 1 species